UACAGAGGUCUCAAGCGUUGUUCGGAUUCAUUGGGCGUAAAGGGUGUGUAGGUGGCGCCGUAAGUCGGGUGUGAAAUUUCGGAGCUUAACUCCGAAACUGCAUUCGAUACUGCGGUGCUUGAGGACUGGAGAGGAGACUGGAAUUUACGGUGUAGCAGUGAAAUGCGUAGAUAUCGUGAGGAAGACCAGUGGCGAAGGCGGAUCUCUGGACAGUUCCUGACGCUGAGGCGCGAAGGCCAGGGGAGCAAACGGG
rnacentral:rRNA from 1 species